AGGACGAACGCUGGCGGCGUGCCUAACACAUGCAAGUCGAGCGAUGAAGCCCUCGGGGUGAAUUAGCGGCGGACGGGUGAGUAACACGUGGGUAACCUGCCUUAUAGAGGGGGAUAGCCUUCCGAAAGGAAGAUUAAUACCGCAUGAAAUGUUUUUAUCGCAUGGUAGAAACAUCAAAGGAGUAAUCCGCUAUAAGAUGGACCCGCGGCGCAUUAGCUAGUUGGUGAGGUAACGGCCCACCAAGGCGACGAUGCGUAGCCGACCUGAGAGGGUGAUCGGCCACAUUGGAACUGAGACACGGUCCAGACUCCUACGGGAGGCAGCAGUGGGGAAUAUUGCGCAAUGGGGGAAACCCUGAACCGCAGCAACGCCGCGUGAAUGAAGAAGGCCUUAGGGUUGUAAAGUUCUGUUUUCUGGGACGAUAAUGACGGUACCAGAGGAGGAAGCCACGGCUAACUACGUGCCAGCAGCCGC
rnacentral:rRNA from 1 species